rnacentral:rRNA from 1 species
CCUACGGGAGGCUGCAGUGGGGAAUAUUGGACAAUGGGGGGAACCCUGAUCCAGCCAUGCCGCGUGUGUGAAGAAGGCCCUCGGGUUGUAAAGCACUUUCAGUGAGGAAGAACGCCUGGUGGUUAAUACCCAUCAGGAAAGACAUCACUCACAGAAGAAGCACCGGCUAACUCCGUGCCAGCAGCCGCGGUAAUACGGAGGGUGCGAGCGUUAAUCGGAAUUACUGGGCGUAAAGCGCGCGUAGGUGGCUUGAUAAGCCGGUUGUGAAAGCCCCGGGCUCAACCUGGGAACGGCAUCCGGAACUGUCAAGCUAGAGUGCAGGAGAGGAAGGUAGAAUUCCCGGUGUAGCGGUGAAAAGCGUAGAGAUCGGGAGGAAUACCAGUGGCGAAGGCGGCCUUCUGGACUGACACUGACACUGAGGUGCGAAAGCGUGGGUAGCAAACAGGAGUAGAUACCCUGGUAGUC